AUUGAACGCUGGCGGCAGGCUUAGCACAUGCAAGUCGAGCGGGCGAGGUUGCUUCGGUAACUGAGCUAGCGGCGGACGGGUGAGUAAUGCUUAGGAAUCUGCCUAUUAGUGGGGGACAACAUUCCGAAAGGAAUGCUAAUACCGCAUACGCCCUACGGGGGAAAGCAGGGGAUCUUCGGACCUUGCGCUAAUAGAUGAGCCUAAGUCAGAUUAGCUAGUUGGUGGGGUAAAGGCCUACCAAGGCGACGAUCUGUAGCGGGUCUGAGAGGAUGAUCCGCCACACUGGGACUGAAACACGGCCCAGACUCCUACGGGAGGCAGCAGUGGGGAAUAUUGGACAAUGGGCGCAAGCCUGAUCCAGCCAUGCCGCGUGUGUGAAGAAGGCCUUUUGGUUGUAAAGCACUUUAAGCGAGGAGGAGGCUACUUGGAUUAAUACUCUAGGAUAGUGGACGUUACCCGCAGAAUAAGCACCGGCUAACUCUGUGCCAGCAGCCGCGGUAAGAC
rnacentral:rRNA from 1 species